rnacentral:rRNA from 1 species
AGUGAACGCUGGCGGUAGGCCUAACACAUGCAAGUCGAACGGCAGCACAGGAGAGCUUGCUCUCUGGGUGGCGAGUGGCGGACGGGUGAGGAAUACAUCGGAAUCUACUCUGUCGUGGGGGAUAACGUAGGGAAACUUACGCUAAUACCGCAUACGGUCUACGGGUGAAAGCAGGGGAUCUUCGGACCUUGCGUGAUUGAAUGAGCCGAUGUCGGAUUAGCUAGUUGGCGGGGUAAAGGACCACCAAGGCGACGAUCCGUAGCUGGUCUGAGAGGAUGAUCAGCCACACUGGAACUGAGACACGGUCCAGACUCCUACGGGAGGCAGCAGUGGGGAAUAUUGGACAAUGGGCGCAAGCCUGAUCCAGCCAUACCGCGUGGGUGAAGAAGGCCUUCGGGUUGUAAAGCCCUUUUGUUGGGAAAGAAAUCCAGCUGGCUAAUACCCGGUUGGGAUGACGGUACCCAAAGAAUAAGCACCGGCUAACUUCGUGCCAGCCGCCGCGGUAA